GAUGAACGCUAGCGGCAGGCUUAACACAUGCAAGUCGAGGGGCAGCAUAAUGGAUAGCAAUAUCUAUGGUGGCGACCGGCGCACGGGUGCGUAACGCGUAUGCAACCUACCUUUAACAGGGGGAUAACACUGAGAAAUUGGUACUAAUACCCCAUAAUAUCAUAGAAGGCAUCUUUUAUGGUUGAAAAUUCCGAUGGUUAGAGAUGGGCAUGCGUUGUAUUAGCUGGUUGGUGGGGUAACGGCUCACCAAGGCGACGAUACAUAGGGGGACUGAGAGGUUAACCCCCCACACUGGUACUGAGACACGGACCAGACUCCUACGGGAGGCAGCAGUGAGGAAUAUUGGUCAAUGGACGCAAGUCUGAACCAGCCAUGCCGCGUGCAGGAUGACGGCUCUAUGAGUUGUAAACUGCUUUUGUACGAGGGUAAACGCAGAUACGUGUAUCUGUCUGAAAGUAUCGUACGAAUAAGGAUCGGCUAACUCCGUG
rnacentral:rRNA from 1 species